rnacentral:rRNA from 1 species
UACGUAGGGUGCGAGCGUUGUCCGGAAUUAUUGGGCGUAAAGAGCUCGUAGGCGGUUUGUCGCGUCUGCUGUGAAAACCUAAGGCUCAACCUUGGGCUUGCAGUGGGUACGGGCAGACUAGAGUGCGGUAGGGGUGACUGGAAUUCCUGGUGUAGCGGUGGAAUGCGCAGAUAUCAGGGAGGAACACCGAUGGCGAAGGCAGGUCACUGGGCCGCAACUGACGCUGAGGAGCGAAAGCAUGGGGAGCGAACAGG